AGGCUUACAUAGAGGCUACGUUAAAUGCUGCAUAUACAUAUUUUUUUAUGAAGUAAAAUGCGAAAUGAAAUUUCAGUUAAAUAAAUUAUUCUUUGGUAUUGCGUCUACGCUUGGGAUGACGGAGCUUGUUGGCUACUAGUUGCUAAACUUUCUUUGAAUUACAAUCCAAGAAAGACACGUGAUGGAAUCAUGGCGGCAGUGACGGGGAAAUCAGUAAGCGAGCAAACGCUAGAGUUUUCUGGCUCAAAAAUGUAGGUAAAAAGAUGACAAUUGCAAAUUGUUUCUUGGUCAGUUGCUCUAUGAAUGACACGAAUCACGUACGCUUCAUUUCGUUGGUUUGCUUCAAUACUUGUUCGAACGAGAAACAUAAGGAUUUAACGCUGUUCAAGUUAAUUUUGUACAUUCCACAAAGCGAGUGUAAAUACAGAAUCUUAAAAAAUCAAAGAACAGCCAAUAAUUUGCGAAAGUGUUGGUGAAGAUUUGAUCAACUUCACUGCAAGACCUAAGGCAAGAGGAUGAACAGUUUCGUUGCUGUGCCAACCCAGCAUAUGCUUCCCGUUGGCACUUGAAAAUGAAAUCGUACCCAAGUCGUAAAGACAUCAACUGAAUAAGUGACGGAUUAAAAAAACAAAAGAAAAACAGCCUAUCAGCCCGUUUUUUUAUUAUUAAUAUUUUUCAAUUAAAUAAAAAAAAUAUUAAAAAGAUUAACGAUGAUGCUCCAAUAUUUGAUCACUUCGUUGUCUGUGAUUUGAUUAAAAGCCACUAGCUCCGACGACUAAUUUGAUGUGCUUAACCACUGAAUCAGAAAAGGUUUGUUUGUCUACGCAUCGGCAAAUUUCUGACGCAAAUUUUCCUAUACAAGUUGUGUGGAAUAAUGAAUAACUGAAGUAGUUGUUGAAUAUUACCCCCUAUCGUUUUCUUCGAAAUUAGGCCUGUCACACUUAUCAAGUUCAGUCUUAGCAUGAUUAACGACAUUUUCGUUUAUUAGGGUGGUCUCUGGAGUUUCAUGAGUUGGAUAAGGUCAAAAGCAUGUUUUCAAGCCCAAUGCAAACCUAAGAGAGAAAACAUAAGUGUAACGGUGAACUCUAAAAUUGCUCAAAAGAUCUCAACGAAGGGAUUUGGAGGUAAGCAAAAUUUAACAUAUUCACUGACACAGCAUCAACUUCAAUUUGACAAGUUUUCUCUUCUUUAAGUCUUAGGAUUCUUUUAAAAUGUAUUAUUGUAUCUGAAUUCACUCUUUUUGGAUAAAUUAAAAUAAUGUCUAUUGCGGAAAACACAAACAUGAAAUUAAUGCAAAUUCUGAUAGCAACAAAGAUACAUACACAUUAGCAUUAGCUACAUGACAAGUUAUAACAAUCUUGCGUCAUGAAGUUUUUUUUUUCAGUUUCAGCAUUACUUGCAUCAUGAAGUUUUUUUUUCAAUUUCAGUGUUAGUUGCAUCAGGAUUGUUUGUUAGCUGGGGUGAUUUUGUAGUUGAAGAGAAGGGACAUGAAGUUUUCUUCUCCAACUCAUUACUGUUUACAUUUCCUAUUAUUUGUUUGUCUUCUUUGGACCCCCAUAAACGCCAGAACUUGAUCACCAUAGGUUGCAAAAAACGGUGCCAAAUGUAGAGGAAUACUGGAAUGACAAUACAAGGUAUGCAGACCA